rnacentral:lncRNA from 1 species
UUUUUUCUACCAUGCUGAUGAACAAAAAGUAUUCGUCAGCCUUAAGGCAAUCUUUUUAGAAAAGGAGUUCCUUGGUGAAGGAACCGUUGCCUCUAAGGUUGAACUUGAUGAAGUUCAACAGGUAGAAGGACCAACACCAAUAGUUGAAUCUGAGUCGGAUUUGAUUAGAUCAGAUCCGGAGCCCAAUGUCCCUGCACCAUUAAGGCGA